AGCCGGGAGCCAGGUUUCCGCCCGGCUGGGAUCCUGGAGCUCAGUUUACCACUAAGCGGUGCACUGCAUCCAGGGGUUUGGCCCACAUUGACAAGCCACGAUUCUAAAAGGCAAGCCUCGGCGUUUCCCCCGUUUCUUCCUGAGGAGUUUCGGAGUAGUUGUUACUUCAGAUCUAAGUGUUCAAUCCUGGAAGAGAACCAGCCUGCCAGCCCCGAAGCACACGCCUUCCCGACGAUCGGAUUUGCCCGUCAGCAGUGGGGGCUAGCUAAAUGAAGGAAUGAACCGUACCAGCCCGGGCAGCCGAGCAUAGAGUGACCAUUGCUGCUAGUGUACCGGUUUGUGAGUCUCUGUUCAGAGGCAGUGGAACCUUUGAACCUCGAGGUCUACUGGUGUGUCCAAUCAAUUCAGCUUUGGCUAAUCAAGAGGAACUGUGGGAUCACAGCCCUACCUUCUCCCUGUCCAUGCUCCCUUCAAGACAGCAUGCAGGUUUCCAGGAUAGCUCAUCAAACUGGAUCCUGGUGACAGCAUUCUUGGAAAGGAAGGAACUGGGAGCAUUAUGUCAUGAGGAGAAAGCCUGGGCCACCUGGUGAGCCCAUGUGGAGCUCCUCUCUUCAUUCAGGCUUCCAGUAUCUGCACCAGCUCUCCAGGGCUGUAUCUACCUUGAAGUGCACUACCACAAUCAAAAUGGUGCAAUAUCAACAAGUUGCUUGACGACGGUAAUGAGAAUGACCUUGGAUCCUGCAGUUGACAAUCUCAAAUCCGGGAAAGACUGUUGUGCUUCAAUCCCUUUCAUCGCAAGUAUAGUGUAGCCGCAGGCCCGUGCUUUGCGUACCUCUACCUGGUACCUCUCCUGAAUUCAUCAGCUGUUCUGCCGUGAAGGGAGCAAUGCACCAUGGGAAACACAGCCACACCCUCAGCUUCCCAGGGAAAAAAACCAAUCAGAGGCAGCCUGAGUUACAGAGGUCCUCGGGUCUCAUCACUUUCCACCCGCUUGCCCUGGACAAAGCAAAUUGAUCAGAAUUACCACCAGGCCCAGCGACUUCACCCCCGUGGCAACUAUGUCCUUUGGGGAUCCGUGACGUCUAUAACGUAGCGUCUUGGCUGUGCCUUCUGUCCUGCAGGUCUGUCUGCUCAUCUCUCUCUGAGUGCCUCUGCAGUUGCUCCAUGUGGGCUUCUGUUCUGAUCGGCUUUCUCUGUGGGGGCGGUCUAAAUAGGAACGCCCCCCCCAUAGACUCACAACACUUGCCCCAUAGGGCGUGGCACUGUGAGGAGGUGUGGCCUUGGAGGAAGUGUGUCACUAUGGGGGGGGGCUUCGAGGUCUCAUAUGCUCAAGCUACGCCCACUGUGGCUCAUAGUCUCCUCUUGUUGCCUUCGGCUGCCUCUCUUUCUUCAGCACCAUGGCUGCCUGCGUGAUGCCACGCUUCCCGCCAUGGACUAAACCUCUGAAACUGUAAGCCAGCCCCAAUUAAAUGUUCUAAUUUUUAA